UGAUUUCGGCGUAGCAGCAAAUCUCCAUCUCCUUAAUUCUCUAUUCUCGAUCUUAUAGCAUCAAACAAAAUUUUCAACCUCGCCAUCAUACGCUGAGUUUAGUGUUGCCAUGGUACCCUUCAAUCUAGCAUUCGAGCUCUACAAUUUCUUUCAUGAGUUUCUGUUGCACUUACAUUAUUUAGUGAUCUAUGUUGCUUUCUUUCCCUUAUGUAAUUAACCAAAUACUUUGUAAAUUUUAUUUCUACCACCGUCGACCACCACAAGGGGUUGGAGGUUCUGGGGCAAUCAUUGAGUUUGCUAACGGGGUCAUCUUCUGUUACUAAUAUUUUUACUCUGUAUGUCCGGCCACCCAGAUCUGUCUGUGUUCGGCGCCCUUUUUCUCUGGUGAGUCCAUUCCCAGUUGUGCUGCCGUAGAGCUUCACAAGAUUCACCCCUUUUUACGGCGUAUCCUUCUUCCUCAGUAAAUUCUGCUGCCCAAGUCUUUUGUUCUCCUUCGUAUGUUUGCUCAAGUGAAAAUUGAAAGAAGCCAUGUAUUUCGCAAGCCUCUGUGCUGCUUUUAUGGUUUAUUUCUACUUUUCCAAAAUGUCCAUGCUGUUCUGGUUAAUUCAAAAAACUACCCUUGGAGUUUUGUCGUGUA